rnacentral:misc_RNA from 1 species
GAUGAAGAACGCAGCGAAAUGCGAUAAGUAGUGUGAAUUGCAGAAUUCAGUGAAUCAUCGAAUCUUUGAACGCACAUUGCGCCCUUUGGUAUUCCAAAGGGCAUGCCUGUUCGAGCGUCAUUUGUACCCUCAAGCUUUGCUUGGUGUUGGGCGUCUUGUCUCUAGCUUUGCUGGAGACUCGCCUUAAAGUAAUUGGCAGCCGGCCUACUGGUUUCGGAGCGCAGCACAAGUCGCACUCUCUAUCAGCCAAGGUCUAGCAUCCAUUAAGCCUUUUUUUCAACUUUUGACCUCGGAUCAGGUAGGGAUACCCGCUGAACUUAAGCAUAUCAAUAAGCGGAGGA